AUAUCAACAACUGGGAAUCAUAGCACCACUUCCCCCCGCAGACAGGGCAGGCUGAGAAGAAAAGAAUGAGCUGGUGCCAUUGAAGAGCCUCGGCCACAUCUGGAGUGAGAGUGGCCGCAGCU